ACACCCACCAAAGCCAAAUUUGUACGAACGGACGGUCCAACUCAAAUUCUCAAAAUCUGCCUUUGCAAAAGAGAGUUCUUCCACCGACCAACAUGGAAUUACCAAGUGGCGAUUCGGUGUCACCUGAGUGUUAAAGUAGCAAAACUGUGCAAACGAAUAGCACGCAAACACUCUUAAUAUUACCCAUUCCCACUCUGCAUCUUCUCAACACCGAACUUCAAAGAUUUAUCAAGGAAGAAGCCUUUUCUCGGUUUCUCUUAGACCCUCUGGCGCUUGCUGUAUCAGAAAUCUUGAUUUUGAUACCCUUCACUUUCGACAAGUGGUAGAUGCGAAGGGGAAAUUGGUAAGGUGAGAUGAACUCAGCGUUUAGUGAACAGAUACUUGCAGACAAGCUCUCAAAGCUUAACAGCACUCAGCAGUGCAUUGAAACAUUGUCGCACUGGUGCAUUUUUCAUCAAAGUAAUUCAGAGAAGGUUGUUGCAACAUGGGACAAACAAUUCCAUAGUUCAGAGAUGGCUAAGAAAGUACCUCUUUUGUACGUUGCAAAUGAUAUUCUGCAGAACAGCAAGCGCAAUGGAAAUGAAUUCAUCAUUGAGUUUUGGAAGGUUCUUCCUGCAGCACUCAAGGAAGUUGUGAAGGAAGGCAAUGAUCGUGAGAAGAAUGUGGUAUCCAGAUUGGUUAAGAUUUGGGAAGAAAGGAGAGUUUUUGGAUCUCUCAAUCAAAGCCUUGAAGAUGUUAUGCUUGGAGAAGAAAUGCCUCCACCUUUAGAGUUUGGGAAAAAACGUUCCCGUCCUGUCAGCAUAGUUAAAAAUGACUCACGAUCUAUAAAAAGGAAAUUGACUAUUGGAGGAACAGCAGAAAAAAUACUUUCAGCUUUCCACUUGGUGCGCAGUGAACAUACUACUGAAGAUGAAGAAAUGAAUAAAUGCAAGUCUGCAGUUAAUCGUGUGAAGAAACUUGAAAAGGACGUCCGCAUGGUCUUAAAAAAAGCUAAGGAUUCAUCAUGGAACACCUUAGCUAAAAAAAUUGAAGACGAACAGAAUCUUUUGAAUGAGAGCAUUGAGAAACUUGAAGUUGUUGAAUCAAAUAGAUUGGCCCUUGUAUCUCAGUUACAAGAUGCGCUUCAUGAGCAGGAAUCUGAACUGGAGAAUGUUCGGACACAGAUGCAGGUAGCACAGGCACAGGCGGACAAAGGUGCAAAAAUGCUGAAAUAUUUGGAUGGAGAUGCAAAUGCAUCAAUUGUAUCAUCGGAUGCCAAUACAAAACCUGCAGCACAAAUGAUGAGAAAAUCUGCUGCAUCUAUUGCUGCUGAGGUUGCAGAUAGGCUUGCAGCUUCAAGCUCCUCUCGGUAUAUUAUGACAUCUGUCCUCUCCACAUUUGCAGCCGAAGAAGCCAAAAAUGCUGGGCUGAUGAAUUCUUCAACAUCAUCUGCUUCUUUCUCAUCCAGGAUUCUAUCUUUAUGUUGGCUGGCUGCCUGCCUGCUUCGACAUUGCUGAACAAUGUGUCCCUGAGCUUGGGACUCGUGAUUGAUGGCCAAUAUAGCAUCUUCCACGUAAGAUAUAUUACUUUCAGCCGUUUUAUUUCCCAACAUAAUGUGCAUUUGGCUUUGUGCACGAGCAAUUUGGUUGCCUUCCUUUGUCUGCCAUGUCUCACAUAUCACCUUCGAUCGCUUCAAUGGCUUCCUUAGGCUUUUUGUUGAGCUCCAGCCAGAUGUCUCCCGAACACCCUCUAGCACCAGGUUUCACUAUUUUUUAUUCUUGGAUUCAUCACCGUUGAUUUAAUGCUGGAGAAAUAAGCAUUACUUGGUUUUAGCUCCACUUUGGAUUGCAACGCAUCUAUACUGAGCAUAAAAUCAAAUCGUCGAAGAUUGAUCUCAAACUUCUCCCUAUUUACACAAAAACUGCUGGUGGACUUACAGGUUUUCCAUUUAACCACUUAAUUAACUUAGCAUUAUGUUUCUCAUCAUAUUGCAUAAACAUGAUUUUAUGACUAAAUUUUUGGUAUAAUAGAUAAAUGUGAGGCAUUUAUUAUAAGCCAAUAAAAGUUAAAGACUUAACUCUUGCUUCAGGUCUUUUGUUGACUCUAACCACUAGGUCCUGAAGGGUCACGUGACACACCAACUUUUAAGUUCUUUUUUUCUUGAAUCACAAAAUCAGAUUUAGAAUUAGGCAUUUAGAGGCAGACAGAGACACCACUGUUGACAAAGUUUUGUAAUAUCAGUUUGAAGAAACCUUGGAAAAACCUGCUGCACAAGUUAAAACCAUCCAGCAGAAGAGAUAUCGUUGACUUGAACACAAAAUUGUUCAUUGUCUUCGAGAUGAAUGUCCUAGAUGGCUUCUAUAUUUUCUGCCAUUCUUAGAAGAUUGUAAAGAAAAUAAAGAAGAAGAAUCCAAUUUCAUAAAGAAUUGCUGCCCUAAUGAAAUUAUCCAGAAGUUUACUGUUCUUAAUCCAUUGCCACAUGAGAACCUUGUAGAAGUGCAGCCCACUGUCAUUGUUAUCUAUAAAUAUAGUAGUUGUAUGUAUUGUAUGAGUAUGGAAGGAAGAGUGUGAAAUGGAAGACGCAGGGAAGCAAGGAGAAGUUUGUAAGAGAGAAUGAGGGGGAAAAUAUAGGUGAGGCGUGAGUGUAUUUUUGUGGUAGGCCAAGGUGCUUGCUUGAGUAAAUUAAUCGAAGUAGUCUUUUGGUGGUCUUAUGUUAUCCAAUUAAAUUGUGAACUAUUUUUGAUAAUUAAAUAACUUUAUUUGUGAUUUAAACUCAACAUGGCCUACGAAUUAAGUCGGACCUAUUCCUCAUCUCCAACCCAGACAAAUAGUGCCAAUCUAAUUCAAAACAUCUGCGUCCGCCACUGACUCUGACUGGCAUAGGAGAUGUAGGAGUUUCUCUUUUGAUGUUUUGGUCAACUGUUGAUGACGCAAUUGGGAACCAAAGAGAUCAAGACUUGGUGCCUACGUUCCAAGAAUUUGGCCUUGUGGAGCUGUGUGCUUCAACAAAUGAGUUUAGCAGCCAUUUGAUUAGAAUAAGUAUUGAUUUCUUUCUUAUUUUAGGAGAGUAGAUUUUUUUCCUUAUUUGCCAACUCUUGUACACUAUAAAUUGUAAACCCUCUCAUCGUAUAAUCAAUGAUGAAAUAAACAGUACAAUUCAUAUUUCAUUAUGGUAUCAGAGCCAAGUUGGUUUUAACCCAGUCAAUACAUGGCCGAAUCAGGUCCUCACGACAGGAGCUCCAUGACUUCUGACUCAGAUGUAGAAGCCACGUUUGCCAAGAACACAGGGGGAAUUGAAAACUCGGCCUUCGAACUCUCGAUUGAGAAACUGAAUGGGAAGAACGACAGAGAAUGGGCACAAUCAAUAAAGCUAAUAAUCGACAAAAAAGGGAAACUCGGAUACUUAACCGGAGAAACCAAGGUGCCGGCCUCAACUAACGUGGCUCUCCUUCAGAAGUGGAAGUCGGAGAACUCAUGGUGAUUGCCUGGCUUGUCAAUUCCGUGAAGCCGAACAUUGGAAAACAUAUUUAUUUCACCCAACUGCAAAAGAGGUUUGGGAAGCAGUUAAAGAAAUAUAUUCUGACUCCGAGAAUUUUUCCAAAAUUUUUGAAAUCAAGUCGAAGCUAUGGCAAACGAAGCAAGGAAAUCGAGAUGUGAGGGGUUAUUACCUGGAAAUGACUGGAUUAUGGCAAGAAUUACACGAGUACUAAGGAAGAAUGGAAGUGUGCAGAAGAUAGCGUGCGGUAUAUAAAGAAAUUGGAAAUUGAAAGGGUGUUCGAGUUUCUCGCUGGACUUCAUCGCGAUCUAGAUGAUGUUCGCGGUCGAAUACUUGGCCAGCGUCCCCUUCCCUUGCCGCGGGAAGUGUUUUCGAAGGUGAGAAGAGAAGAAGACCAACGGAAGGUCAUGUUGAACGAGUCCAGUGCGCCGACGGUGGAAGUGUCGAGACUGACCUCCAACAAACUUGGGCCAUCUGGAUAUGGGUUGAAAAAUAGAGAAGGUAAUAGGCCUAUUGUUGGGCCAACUAAUGGCAAUAAUGGGCCGGCUGAUUUGAACAGUGGAAUGGGCUUGAAUAUUGGACCAAAUAACUUAAAUGAUGGAACUUGGAUGAUGGGCUUAUAUUCUAAGGGAGGCACAUCUGGCCAGGCCCAAAACAAAGAGGUCGGCCGUGGUGUGAGCAUUGUCGAAAGCCAGGACAUAAAGAGGAUACUUGUUGGGAUUUACUGGGGAAACCGAGUGAUUGGAAACCAAGACAAAAUAAUAAAAAUCGUGGGUAUCAAGCAUCUGUUGAUUACCAAACAGGAAAGACCGAGUCGAGCGAUGCUAGAAAUCUGAAAGUUAAAAUCGCAGACCGCUCACUGUCAUCGGUUGCAGGGAAAGGGAGUAUAAAAAUUUCUGACUCUAUAACUCUAGAAUCUGUUCUUCACAUUCCAAAGCUGUCGUGUAAUUUACUUUUCAUAAGCCAAUUGACAAAAACCUCAAAUUGUUUUGUUAAAUUUUUUCCAUCUUACUGUGUUUUUUAGGACCUAUCAUCGAGGAAGACGAUUGGCAGUGUUAAAAAAAAGUGACGGACUCUACUACUUUGACGAGGUUGAUGUGGGUAAACAAAGUCAAUUUACUAUUUGUAAUUCUACAUCUGUUUCUAGCUAUAGUGAUAUUUUGUUAUGACAUUUUAGAAUGGGUCAUCUUAACUUUGAGUAUUUAAAACGUGUACUCCCAUCAAUUUUUAUGAAUAAAAAUCCAUUGAUAUUCAGUGCGAAAUGUGUGAGUUUGCAAAAUAUCAACGUACAUCAUUCCCAACCUCAUACAAACCAUCCAAGCCAUUUACUAUGAUACAUAGUGACUUAUGGGGUCCUUCACGAAUUCCGAAUCGAACUCAUGCAAAGUGGUUUGUAACGUUCAUUGACGAUCACCCUCGAAUUUGCUGGGUAUACCUACUAAAAGAUAAAUAAGAUGUUUGUUCUAUAUUCAUCAACUUUUACUCUAUGAUCCAAACACAAUUUCAAACACAGAUUCAAAUUUUACGUACGGAUAAUGUCACCGAAUACUUCAAUACCACCCUGGGUAAUUUUCUCCAAUUACAUGGAAUAAUUCAUCAAAGCUCUUUUAUUGAUUCUCCCCAACAGAAUGGGAUCACCGAACGCAAAAAUAGACACAUUCUAGAAGUUGCUCAAGCAUUGAUGUUCACUUCUAAUAUGCCAAAAAUAUUCUGGGGGGAUGCAAUUCUGACGUCAACCUACCUAAUCAACAGAAUGCCGAGUCGUACCUUAAAUUUUGAAUCUCCCUUAAAAAAAACUUCAAACUCUAUUUCCUACCUCUCGUCUCAACUCCAUCCUACCCUUACGGGUGUUUGGAUGUACUGCCUUCGUUCAUAUUCAUUCUCAUUGCUGAGGUAAACUGGAUCCUCGAGCUGUUAAAUGUGUUCUGAUCGGUUAUUCCUCUACUCAAAAGGGCUACAAAUGCUAUGAUCCUUCCCAAAAAAAAAAAACAUUUGUAAGUCUUCAUGUCACCUUCUUUGAAAUGACCUCGUAUUUCAAUAAAACCUCUCUUCAGGAGGAGACAUUGCAUGAAGAUCGGUUCCUAGACAUUGAUCUCAUUUCUCCCGAACCUACAUUUACCAACAACCCUAUACCACCAUCUAAUAUGCCAUUAACAGAGAACAACUUACAGCCAGGGGGAGAUAUAGAAAAACAAAGUAAUGAAGACUUGUUGGUUUACUCACGAAAGCCAAAAUCAAAGUACAAAGAAACCAUCACAUUUGAAGCACUAAAAGAAUCAGAAUCGAUGAUGGCUUCUCAAGAAGCUUCAGAUAUUCCUGACUUACCCAUUGCUCUCAGAAAAACUACUUGGUUAUGUACUCUUCAUCCUAUUUCAAAAUUCAUGUCAUAUAAUGCUUUAUCUACUAAAUUUCGUGCUUUUACAUCUCAUUUUAAUAGCACAGAGAUCCCAAAAGAUAUUGGAGAACCUUGGGAAGUCCUAAAUGGAGGGAAGCAGUAUUGGAGGAGAUGAGGGCAUUAGAGAAAAAUGAGACUUGGGAGGUAUUAGACCUACCGAAAGGAAAGAGACCAGUUGGGUGCAAAUGGGCCUUCAAUUUGAAAUACAAAGUUGAUGGGACAAUAGAAUGGUACAAAGCUUGUUUAGUUGCAAAAGGAUACACACAAACAUAUGACAUCGACUACACAUAAAUGUUUGCACUAGUAGCAAAAUUGAAUACAAUCCGGGUCCUGUCCUUAGCAGCCAACUUAGAUUGGCUACUUCAACAACUUGACAUUAAAAAUGCUUUCUUGAACGGAGAAUUAGAAGAGGAAGUUUUCAUGACUUUACCGCCUGGGUUCAGUAGAGCUGAUGAAGAAAAUAAAGUAUGCAAACUUAAUAAGUCUCUAUAUGGACUAAAACAGUCAUCAAGGGCAUGAUUUGACAGAUUCGUAAAGGUGUUAAAAGGUCAUGGAUAUCGACAAGGGCAGUCAGAUCAUACUAUCUUCUAUCAACACUUCAACAGUGGAACCAAGACAAUCUCAAUUGUAUAUGUUGUUGAUAUUGUUCUAACAGGAGACAAUGUAGUUGAAACUGACAGACUACAAAAAUGCCUUGCCGCCAAAUUCGAGGUGAAGGAUCUGGGACAAAUGCGAUACUUCUUGGGAAUGGAGGUUGCGAGAUCAAAGGGUGGAAUUAGUGUUUCACAACAAAAGUAUGUCAUUGAUCUCCUAACAGAAACAAGGAUGCUAGGUUGUAAACCGAGUGAUACACCUAUCGAAGCAGGAAAAAGACCUGAAGAGAAUGGAAAGGAAGUGGAAAGAGAUGGAUACCAAAGACUGGUUGGAGAGUUAAUAUACUUAUCACACACUAGACCUGAUAUUGCAUUUGCAGUGAGCCGUGUAAGUCAACAUAUGCACUCACCAAAGGAAAGUCACCUGAAAGCAAUCUAUAAGAUACUAAGAUACCUCAAGGGAACCCCAGGAAGGGAACUGUCUUUUAAGAAAAGUGAAAAAAGGGAGAUUGAAAUCUUUACCGAUGCAGAUUGGGCAGAUUUGAUAGAAGACAGAAGAUCAACUACUGGCUAUUGCACCUAUGUGUGGGGAAAUCUUGUAACUUGGAGGAGUAAGAAACAAAAUUUAGCUGCCAAAAGUAGCGCUGAAGCUGAAUUCAAGGCUAUAGCACCAGGAAUAUGUGAAGGGCUGUGGUUGAGAAAACUCCUAGAAGAAUUGCAUGUUAAAACCAUCAAAAUGUUUUGUGAUAACAAGGUAGCAAUCAAUAUCUCACUUUAUCCAGUCCAACAUGAUCGUACUAAACAUAUAGAAGUUGACACACUUUAUAAAGUAGAAAGUUGAGGAAGGAACCAUUUGCAUGACUUAUGUUCCUACACAAGAGUAAGUUGCAGAUAUCUUUACUAAGGGACUACCUCGUCCAACCUUCAAUGAUUUCAUAUGCAAGUUGGACACGAUUAACAUCUAUGAUCCAACUUGAGAGGGAGUGUGGAAACCGGAUCCUAUCAAAUAAAGAUAGGAACGAAAUUGAUUGUAGAAUAUUUACAUUCCAUAAUUGGUGUGAUGUAGAAUAAGUAUUGAUUUCUUUCUUAUUUUAGGAGAGUAGAUUUUUUUCUUUAUUUGCCAACUCUUGUACACUAUAAAUUGUAAACCCUCUUAUUGUAUAAUCAAUUAUGAAAUAAACAGUACAAUCCCCAAUUUAGAUAUUAGUUUGUGAAUUCUAUCGUACGUCCCCCGAGCCAAGUUCAGAUCCUUCUUCUAUUCUUUUCCGGCGCAGUUGGGCAUAGGAGAAAAGCUCAAGGAAAAUGGAAAAUCUAACUUGAGAAUCAUUUUGGCUUCAUGUUUCCAAAUUUUUGCAAUGAUGCCAAGUUUUCUUUAUUCCUCCUCAAGGUCUACUUCCUCAAAAUAAGUCUGUAAGAGUUGACUGAUUUCACUUAAUGAUUCUGCUUGAUUUGAUUUCGUGAAGUUUUGCAUUCAUCUGCGUAAUGCUAAUCGCUCUAAAAUGGGAAGUGGUCUAUUGGUCUUUGAUGUUCAACUAUGUCAAUCAAAUUUUUUGUCAAUGUAUAGGAAAGUUGUAGCUAUAAAUUAAGCUUUUGGGUUUCUGGAGGAAAAAAGAAAAGAAAAAAAUCAUCUUUGGUCAUUUAAAUGUGAAAUUCUGGUGUUUCUUUGAUAAAAGAAGGUAUUAAGGUGUCAAUGCGUAGGAAAAUUGAAGCUAUAAGUUAGGAUGGCAUAAUUGUAUGUGUCCACUACGAGCUUGUCAGCUGUAAAUCCAAUGAUGAUAUUUUUUCCAUUUAUUUGUUUGUUUAUGGACCACUAAAUUGUCAUCCUCAGCCACAUUUUUGAUUAUUGAACGGAUUGCAAUCUUUUAUUGAAACCAGUAUUCCAUUACAUGGUGUAAAAUUGUUCUGUUUCUCAAUUUGUGAAGAUCUUUCCUCUCAAUGAGAAGAUUGAGAAUAUAAAUGAUUAAUACUGGAUAUUGUGGGCUGAAGAAGUGAGCUCUUCUGCUUUCAAAAUCUCCUUGCACUUAUUGCCUGGUCCAUUGUUUCAUGCACAUACAGUUUUAUCUUUAAUUUAAAACCUGUGUUAAAAGUUUCAUAAUUGCUCUUUAUGUUUAGCUUGGCAACAUAUUUGUGUAUUAUUUUGGAAAUUGUUUCAGUUUGUCCUUAUAUUUUGGAAAUUGGUUUUUAGGUUUCUUGAAGUAAGAAUGUUUAUUUCCUGGACCAUGUUUUCUAAUCCGUUACUUUUGUUUUGCUGAUAAUUAUAGAACUGACACACGUUUGAAAAGCCUGUUAAAAUAUACAAUUAAGCCCCUGUUUGACAAUCAUUAUAUUCAUUUUUAACUACACAUUUACACGAUAAAAUAUUUUGCAUGUAAACUCAGCUUUUUCUUAUUUUUAAGCCUCACAUUCUCCUAAAAAUAAUUAUUCAAAACAUUAUUUUCCCAAAUAAUGAUCAUCAAACAGGGUCUAAGAAGAAUGCUGUUUGGAUAUGUUUGCUCUUGAUGCAAUGUUGAAAAUGUAAAAAAUUGGAAUUCUGUGAUACUGAAUGUAGAAUGAAAGGCAGAAAACGAUUUUGUUAGGUUUUGGGUACUAACUUGGAUGGAAAACUUCACCAAGCAGGUUUUGUUAGAUCUCUCCGGUGAUUUCUCCUCGAUGUUAGGUUCUUGGGCUGCUGACGAUCUUUAUUUUUUUGGGUGUUGGAGACAUUUUUCUUGGAGCCUCCAGUCUCGAGGCUUUCAGUGAAUUUUGUUUGGCUAUUGACGAAUUCUUGGGAUCUUCAGUGAAUUCCUUGGUGGGAUCGGAAGGGAUAUCGGAGAUAUGGCGACAAUAAUUUUGGUAGGUGUCGUGAGUAAUUGGUGUUUUGUUGGGCAGUUGGUUUGAUUGGACUUAUCCUCGAAUUGGAUGUUUUGUUGGGUUGUUGGUUUUGAUUGGGUUUUUUUCUUGAAUUGGGGCUGUCAAUUAAUUGGCUAUUUAAUUAUUUGAUUGGGUUGUUAAUUUAUUUGGUCCGUUUGGCUGUGGGCUGUUAUUGAAUUGGAUUGAAAUUGGCUGUCAGUUUAGUUGGGCUGUUGGCUAUAAUUAUUAGAUUUUGAGCUAUCAUGUUUGGGAGAAAAUUCAGUUGUCUGCUUUAAUGGCAAAAACUACAUUUGAGAAUUUCAGUUCAAGAUGCUCGUUAAGGGUAAGGAAUUGUGGGGUCAUAUGGAUGGAUCGUUUCAAGCUCCAAUAGAUUCCAGGGAGCUUAGUUUAUGGGAGAGUAAGGAUGCUCGAAUUGUUUCUUGGCUAUUGAGUUCCAUUGAACCAUAUAUGGUCAACAAUUUUCGUUCGCUCACGACCGCUAAAGAGAUGUGCGAUUCCCUUAGACGGAUUUAUGAUCAAGAUAAUUCUGCACGGAAGGUUCAAUUGUAGUUGAAUAUUGGAAAUUAUUGACAAGGAGAUCUAUCAAUUGAAAAGUUUUAUUUAAUUUAUGGAAUGAUUAUUUUGGGUCGUGUGGUCCAAGGUUCCUAAAGAAGCAUUAGCAACUUUGCAAAAGAUUCAUUUUGAGAGCCAAAGGGAUCAAUCCUUGAUGAAGCUACGACAUGAGUUUGAAAGUGCACGCACUAGACUGAUCAAUCGCAACAUUGUACCAUCCUUGGAUGUUUGCCUGGGAGAAUUCCUAUGUGAGGAACAACGCCACACUUCUCAACUUGGGAUCAGUGAAGCCACCGUUAGUACUAAGAUGGUCAAUGUGGCCUAUGUAGCUCAAGGGAAAGGAAAAUCCAAAUAUUCGCUACAGUGUUACAGUUGCAAGGAAUUUGGACACAUUGCAAAAUAUUGUAACAAGAAAAUCUUUAAUUAUUGCAAAAAGGAGGGCCAUAUUAUGAAGGACUAUCAUGUGUGACCUUGGAAUUGGUCUGCUCCCGCUUUCCAUACUACUGUUCAACCCAACCGUGUGACUGCAUCUUCAGACCAGUUGGGUGCCCAAGAUCUUCAACUCUCACACCCGAACAUGUUCAACAAAUGAUUAUUUCACUCUCUCGGCCCUUGGUCUCCAAAGUAAAAAAAAUCUAGUCACCUCUCCUUGUUUAAUAGACUCUACGGCUUCCAAUCACAUGACUGGGAAUUCAGGAGCUCUACAUAAUGUUUGUAAGUAUGAUGGUAAGCAAUUAUCCAGAUAACCACUGGUAGUACUCUUCCUAUUAUUGCAGUUGAAAAUUUGAGGUCUUCUUUUACUGAUAUUUUUUUAUCGCCUAAUUUAUCUACCAAUCUAAUUUCUUUUGGCUAAUUGGUGGAUGAUAAUUGUGCUCUUUAUUUUGAUCAUGACGGGUGUUGUGUGUAGGAUCAAGCGUCGGGACAGGUAAUAGCGAAGGAGCCUAAAAUGGGACUUCUCUUUCCAAGAAUAGGAGAUUUCAUUGUAAUUUACCAUAAUUAGAUAGCUAUAAUUCUUCUAUAUAAAGGAUACAUGGAACCUCAAUUGAGGCAUUUGAAGGAAAUCAAACUCAACACAAUAUGCGUAAUAAACUUCCUAUUUUUACCAGUAUUUACAUCAGAUUUAAUGGUAAGAAUACACUAUAUAAGAGAUUAUACUUCUGAUCCUAA